rnacentral:rRNA from 1 species
UCGGGUUAGUGGCGGACGGGUGAGUAACGCGUGAGAAUCUGCCCUCAGGAGGGGGACAACAGCUGGAAACGGCUGCUAAUACCCCAUAUGCCGCGAGGUGAAAUGAAUUUCGCCUGAGGAUGAGCUCGCGUCUGAUUAGCUAGUUGGUGAGGUAAUGGCUCACCAAGGCAUCGAUCAGUAGCUGGUCUGAGAGGAUGAUCAGCCACACUGGGACUGAGACACGGCCCAGACUCCUACGGGAGGCAGCAGUGGGGAAUUUUCCGCAAUGGGCGAAAGCCUGACGGAGCAACGCCGCGUGAAGGAUGAAGGCCUCUGGGCUGUAAACCUCUUUUAUCAAGGAAGAAGAUCUGACGGUACUUGAUGAAUAAGCCACGGCUAAUUCCGUGCCAGCAGCCGCGGUAAUACGGGAGUGGCAAGCGUUAUCCGGAAUUAUUGGGCGUAAAGCGUCCGCAGGCGGUCCAGAAAGUCUGCUGUUAAAAAGUGGAGCUUAACUCCAUCAUGGCAGUGGAAACUUCUGGACUAGAGUGUGGUAGGGGCAGAGGGAAUUCCCGGUGUAGCGGUGGAAUGCGUAGAUAUCGGGAAGAACACCAGUGGCGAAGGCGCUCUGCUGGGCCAUCACUGACGCUCAUGGACGAAAGCCAGGGGAGCGAAAGGGAUUAGAUACCCCUGUAGUCCUGGCCGUAAACGGUGAACACUAGGUGUCGGGGGAAUCGACCCCCUCGGUGUCGUAGCCAACGCGUUAAGUGUUCCGCCUGGGGAGUACGCACGCAAGUGUGAAACUCAAAGGAAUUGACGGGGGCCCGCACAAGCGGUGGAGUAUGUGGUUUAAUUCGAUGCAACGCGAAGAACCUUACCAGGGUUUGACAUCCUGCGAAUCUCUUGGAAACAGGAGAGUGCCUUCGGGAACGCAGUGACAGGGGGUGCAUGGCUGUCGUCAGCUCGUGUCGUGAAAUGUUGGGUUAAGUCCCGCAACGAGCGCAACCCACGUCUUUAGUUGCCAGCAUUUAGUU